rnacentral:piRNA from 1 species
UGGCACCACCACGAAGGAAAC